GAUGAACGCUAGCGGCAGGCUUAAUACAUGCAAGUCGAGGGGCAACGAGGGGUAGCAAUACCUGCUGGCGACCGGCAAAACGGGUGCGGAACACGUACAGAACCUUCCUUAGAGUGGGGGAUAGCCCGGAGAAAUCCGGAUUAAUACCCCAUAGUAUUAUUGGGUGGCAUCACUUGGUAAAUUAAAGAUUUAUUGCUCUAAGAUGGCUGUGCGGCUGAUUAGGUAGUUGGUUGGGGUAACGGCCCACAAGCCAGCGAUCAGUAACUGGUGUGAGAGCACGACCAGUCAC
rnacentral:rRNA from 1 species